rnacentral:rRNA from 1 species
CCUACGGGGGGCAGCAGUGGGGGAUAUUGCACAAUGGGGGAAACCCUGAUGCAGCGACGCCGCGUGGGUGAAGAAGCGCCUCGGCGCGUAAAGCCCUGUCAGCAGGGAAGAAAAUGACGGUACCUGAAGAAGAAGCCCCGGCUAACGACGUGCCAGCAGCCGCGGUAAUACGUAGGGGGCAAGCGUUAUCCGGAUUUACUGGGUGUAAAGGGGGCGCAGACGGCGAUGCAAGCCAGGAGUGAAAGCCCGGGGCCCAACCCCGGGACUGCUCGUGGAACUGCGUGGCUAGAGUGCAGGAGAGGCAGGCGGAAUUCCUGGUGUAGCGGUGAAAUGCGUAGAUAUCAGGAGGAACACCGGUGGCGAAGGCGGCCUGCUGGACUGCAACUGACGUUGAGGCCCGAAAGCGUGGGGAGCAAACAGGAUUAGAUACCCGGGUAGUC